rnacentral:rRNA from 1 species
UACGUAGGGACCAAGCGUUGUUCGGAUUUACUGGGCGUAAAGGGCGCGUAGGCGGCUUGACAAGUCACUUGUGAAAUCUCCGGGCUUAACUCGGAACGGCCAAGUGAAACUGUCAUGCUAGAGUGCAGAAGGGGCAAUCGGAAUUCUUGGUGUAGCGGUGAAAUGCGUAGAUAUCAAGAGGAACACCUGAGGUGAAGACGGGUUGCUGGGCUGACACUGACGCUGAGGCGCGAAAGCCAGGGGAGCCAACGGG